UAAAGCUACAGGCUGGAUACUCCCAGCCCAGCCAUGCCUGAGGAGCAGCACUGAUGGGUGCAUGGAUGAGGGGUGCUGGAUCAUUUAGGAAAAGCUCCUGGGGUCACCUUCGACUCUGGCCACAGGUGGUCUGGAAGCAUGGAAGAGCCGUGCCUGCCUUGCACAGGAAGCAAACACAUCUCAAGUUGAUUAUCUACAGCCAUGUCUCAAGAAAAUGGGCACAACAAAGGAGUGACUUCUGCUUCAGGGUAAGUGCAGCACUGAAUUGUUUCAUUUCAUACCAUGAAAUACAAUCUUUUGAGUAGUUGAAAAUACUGAGAAACAUCACAAACCCAGUGUCCUUAUAAAACAAUGUCAUUUAUUCUGUUUUGUUCUAUGUUUAUUUUGUUUUAUUCUAUGUACUGCUGUUAUACUCUAAUACAAAGAUGAUUUUUCCUCUCUGGUAGCACAGCAAAAUUAGAAGUGUAUUUGCAUGCUCCUUCACAAUUUGAGAUUAUAAAUCAUCCUAGCUACUAAUCAAUAAAUGCAAUUUUAAAAUCU
rnacentral:lncRNA from 1 species